UACGUAGGGGGCAAGCGUUGUCCGGAAUUAUUGGGCGGAAAGAGCUCGUAGGCGGUCUGUCGCGUCUGCUGUGAAAACUCAGGGCUUAACCCUGAGCUUGCAGUGGGUACGGGCAGACUAGAGUGCGGUAGGGGAGACUGGAAUUCCUGGUGUAGCGGUGAAAUGCGCAGAUAUCAGGAGGAACACCGGUGGCGAAGGCGGGUCUCUGGGCCGUAACUGACGCUGAGGAGCGAAAGCAUGGGGAGCGAACAGG
rnacentral:rRNA from 1 species